UACGAAGGGGGGCUAGCGUUGCUCGGAAUCACUGGGCGUAAAGGGUGCGUAGGCGGGUUUUUAAGUCAGAGGUGAAAUCCUGGAGCUCAACUCCAGAACUGCCUUUGAUACUGAGAAUCUUGAGUUCGGGAGAGGUGAGUGGAACUGCGAGUGUAGAGGUGAAAUUCGUAGAUAUUCGCAAGAACACCAGUGGCGAAGGCGGCUCUCUGGGACCGGUACUGACGCUGAGACGAC
rnacentral:rRNA from 1 species